rnacentral:rRNA from 1 species
GAUGAACGCUAGCGGCAGGCUUAAUACAUGCAAGUCGUACGGGAUCCGAGGUAGCAAUACUUUGGUGAGAGUGGCGCACGGGUGCGUAACACGUAUGCAACCUACCUAUAACCGGGACACAACCUCGAGAAAUUGAGGCUAAUAUCCCAUAACACUGCGAGAUGGCAUCAUUUUGCAGUUAAAACUCCGGUGGCUAUAGAUGGGCAUGCGCGACAUUAGCUAGUUGGUGAGGUAACGGCCCACCAAGGCUACGAUGUCUAGGGGUUCUGAGAGGAUUAUCCCCCCACACUGGUACUGAGACACGGACCAGACUCCUACGGGAGGCAGCAGUAAGGAAUAUUGGUCAAUGGGCGCAAGCCUGAACCAGCCAUGCCGCGUGAAGGAUGACGGCCCUAUGGGUUGUAACUUCUUUGUACGGAAAAACCUCUGGUCGAGAUCAGAGCUGAUGGUACCGUAAGAAUAAGCAUCGGCUAACUCCGU